GACGUAGGGCGCGAGCGUUGUCCGGAUUGAUUGGGCGUAAAGAGCUCGUAGGCGGCUCGUUGCGUCGGCUGUGAAAACCCGCAGCUCAACUGUGGGCCUGCAGCCGAUACGGGCGGGCUGGAGUUCGGUAGGGGAGACUGGAAUUCCUGGUGUAGCGGUGAAAUGCGCAGAUAUCAGGAGGAACACCGGUGGCGAAGGCGGGUCUCUGGGCCGAUACUGACGCUGAGGAGCGAAAGCCAGGGGAGCAAACGGG
rnacentral:rRNA from 1 species